ensembl:snRNA U2 U2 spliceosomal RNA
AUCGCUUCUCGGCCUUUUGGCUAAGAUCAAGUGUAGUAUCUGUUCUUAUCAGUAAACAGUUUCAUUGUAAGUCCAUCUUUGUCUGAAAGUAGAAAUGCAUGCCACACUAC